UUUUAGUGUCCAUAAUAACGAGUCCAUUUAAAUUAGUUCAUACGGAAACCUCUUUACUGAGCCAUAUCCAUUUUUUCGAAAUCAAUAUUUUGAAGGUGGAGAUGAAAGAAAAAUUAACAAA
rnacentral:sRNA from 1 species